rnacentral:rRNA from 1 species
AAAGGGUGCGUAGGCUGCGCAGAAAGUUGGGUGUGAAAGCCCUCGGCUCAACCGAGGAAUUGCAUUCAAAACUACUGUGCUCGAGGGAGACAGAGGUGAGCGGAACUCAAGGUGGAGCGGUGAAAUGCGUUGAUAUCUUGAGGAACACCGGUGGCGAAGGCGGCUCACUGGGUCUCUACUGACGCUGAGGCACGAAAGCCAAGGUAGCAAACGGGAUUAGAUACCCUUGU